GGGUUAAAAUAAAGGGGGAGGCUGUAACAGAAGCAAACAAAUUGAAGUACAGUUUGGAACUGUCUAGCUAGCAUGUGAAUACCCAGUAUUAGUAUAAGGGCCACUAUACAGCGAGCUACCGGAAUGGCUCUUCCCGCGCCUGCGCGCCAGGAUGAAAGCAAUGGCGGC